GCUAGCGUCCGCGUUUUGUCUUAUCGUCGUGCCGUUGCGGUCUGAAUGGUGGUGUUACACGCGUUUCAUAUUUCCAGACUGCAACGUUCUUAUGUGAAAUGGCACCGGGAUCAAAGGAAAAGAUGUAGCCUCUGUUGAUUUCCAGACCGCAGUGUGCUUGUGAAGAAAGGCGUUGGGAUCAAUGGGAAGGAUCCGGUCUUCCUUGGGUACAAAUACCACUGUUUAGGGUUAGUCUUAGGUUAGGUUAGUCUUAGGGGCAAAGUUGUAUCGGCGAAAAAAAAAAGAUACAACUUUGCAGGUUAUAGUAUCUGGCAUCAGGAGUAGCUUGGGAAACGGAAUGCAGAUAACAGAUACUUAUUAACGGUUACUCCCUCGUUCGUUCUGCUAGGUUGAGGAUUCAUGAAGUAAUUGAUUAGCUCGUUACUCCAGCUUUGUGUCAUAUACGCAUACGAUGUGAACACUGCCUCAUUGCUUGCUUUGAGAGACAUAAACAUUUCGAAAUGA